GCCUGGACUGCAGCAGCAGCAGCAGCAGCAUGAAAAUCCUCCUUAGCCCUUUUCUGGGAGAAGAGCCUGAUGACACAGCUAAUGCAUGGUUUUAAUACUAAAGCCACAGAGAUAAGAUUUCUACCAAAGGAAUGGAGGGGUAUUUCGUGACAGGACUAAAGAAACAAGAGCGAAAUUAGAUUUCCAGUGUUGGCACGAGCCCCCAGGUGGUGAGGCAAGCAAAAAUCUUUGCUCAAAAGGCAAUGUAUGACCCAGCCAUCCAAGCUCAUCAGGGACAAAGACUAACAUCAAGUACCCACCAUAGCCUUUCAGCCACAGGAAACGGAGAAGCAACUGAACAAGGGGGAAAUUCUGCCUUCAAGAUCCACAUUCCACUCUUUUUAACUUUUUUUUGCUUCCAUUCAUAGGAACAAAAAGCAAUACCUUCCAAGACACCCACAUACAAUGCCGCCAUUACUUCAAAGUUGUGUCACGAGUUUUAUUUUCAACUAGCUCUGUAAUUGGAGAAGGCAACGGCACCCACUCCAGUGCUCUUGCCUGGAAAAUCCCAUGGACGGAGGAGCCUGGUAGGCUGCAGUCCAUGGGGUCGCUAAGAGUCAGACAAGACUGAGCAACUUCACUUUCACUUUUCACUUUCAUGCAUUGGAGAAGGAAAUGGCAGCCCACUCCAGUGUUCUUGCCUGGAGAAUCCCAGGGACGGGGGAGCCUGGUGGGCUGCCGUCUAUGGGGUCGCAAGAGUCGGACACGACUGAAGCGACUUAGCAGCAGCAGCUGUGUAAUUUGCAGCUUUCCCGAGUCAUCUACAAGAUGGAAACCAUGUCUGUGAGUGAAGAUGAGAAUCUAUGAGUUCAUAUUCAUUCGUAUAUUAAAAAUUAGCUACAGAAGUUUUCAGGACAGGGACUUAUUUUGGGGAGAACCACCCUUCAAGCCACUGCAGAUGCUGAUGCCUGAAUAUUUGUCAAUGAAGACAGGACCUGAGUGCUCCUACACCAUACCUGACUGUUACAACUGGAAAACUAUGAACUCGGCAGGUUUGGUCGAGGUGCCCUCUGGCCCCUGGCACGCAGUUCUCCUGGUCUUCUGGAAGCAGAGAGAAAUAUACAUCCUGGUCUCUGAGGAGACUCACAGACAAUGGUGUUCACCCUCCUGGGAGCUCGCAGGCAGCCCCGUGACCUGCUUUGGCUGUUUGGAUGUGAACAGAAAUGAUGUCACUUCUGGGUAGAUGCAUUUCAUGGCAGGCAGUUCAUGAUCAUUUUGGAAGCUCAUGUUGGUAAAGAGGUGCCAUAAAGAGGUGCCAUACACAAAUCAAGUGGAGGAACACUGCUCUGUUGUCUUCUCAGCCCUUGUACAUGAGAAACCAAUUCCGUCUUAGGCCACUUAGAUUUCUCUCUUUGUUACUAUAGCGUGACUUAGACCAACUUGACUAACGCAGGAUCAAUACUAAAAUCUGAAUAAUAAGUAUGUUCAUCAAUGUUUCUAUCUCCUUGUGAUGAUUGAACUCAUUUUGAGGAAGUUAUCCAAUAGAUAAUCCAACAGAUGAUAGCUGCAAGCCGAUUCUCAAUAAUCUGCUGCAUUAUUUUAUGUCUGAUUAAUCUUUCCUUAGAAAUAAAGGAGUAAUUUCAACUUUAUUCA
ensembl:lncRNA